UAGAAGAGGAAAAUUGAGCAAAACCAGUGUACCACUGAAGACUCCUUUUGUUUCUGCUGGGGUUUGGAGGCAUCUCCAGAGGUGACGGUCUACACCAGCCGCAGCACUGCUGAAUUUGGAGCCUGAAUCUAGUCCUGGCUUUGCUUACUACCUGAGUCAUCUCAGGCAAGUCCCUUCACUUUUCUGAGCCUCAAGUUUCCUCAUCUGUAAAAAGGAGGGGGCUGAGCUAGGUGACCGUUGAGGAUCUUUCCAAGCUUGAAAUUCAUGAUCCUGCCAUACUACUGAGUUGUUAUGGCAGCAUGAUGGAUUUCAACUGAUCCAUCCUCACACUUCCAUCAUGAAAGAGAACAAAUAAUUCUGGCCAUUCUAUCAUUAUGUUAUCCCUUCCUGAAAUGCAUAGGGCACCCCCUCUAGCCUCUCUCUUCCUCUUGUC
rnacentral:lncRNA from 1 species